rnacentral:ncRNA from 1 species
CGCACGGCAAUGACGAAGAGUAGUAACUUUUGCAGAUGCUUUAGAGAGCUGAUGAAUGGUGGGAAUCAGUGCAGAUGCAAUCGUGAAUGGACUUCCGAGCCUCCAAACCGAACCCUUUUGAGCAGUAGGCUUUGGCGAACAGUCUCAUCGUUACAAGAGACAGAUGGCAGGAAUAUUGUCCUGCUGUCUGUAAAGUGAGCUGAUUGAUCAGCUAAUGAAGGUGGCACCACGGGUUUCUCGUCCUUUUU